GACCCUCACGAUCCCGAUCUCUUCUUCCCCGAUCUCCCCUUCUUCCUUCUCUGUUCUCUCUCUCUCGGACGAGCGACGGUGACGGGAGCAAGGCUCCAGCUCCGGUGAUCUUCCUUUACCAGCGCCGGCGGCCGUUGAGCACAGAUCCAGGCGGCGCUGUUCCUCUCCGGAUCGCAGGCAUGGCGUCGCAUCUUCUCUAGCCGACCUUGCUUCCCCGAUCCGACGCUACUGGAUCGAUCCAGAUCCGCCCGAUCGUCAGCAUGGAAGGAACAUUAGGGUCUUGAGGGGAUCCUAUAUCAGAUCUUGGAUCCAAUCUUCGUUCUUGUUAAUUUGGGGACAGAAGAAUUCCUGGUACGUUGCUUCACGGAUCAGAUGGGGCGACGUUUUCUGGAGACGAUCGAUUGAGGUUUCGGUUGAUGAUGAUGGGAUCAAUUGAGUUGUUGGGCAGAGGAUUGAAGGGUUGAUUGAUGUCUUGGAUUGCUUGAUUUGAGAUCAGUGAUCUGCUUGUUGAUCUCUUCUCUUGAUCCGAUCAGUGAGGUGAGUUCUGUUGCUGUGAGGCUGGGAUUGUGAUCUUUGAGGUGUAUCCAGCAGCUUUCCCUAACCGGCAGCAACCCCUUUGGUUGUGAUCUAUUGGUGAUCACCUUGGAUUCGAGGAGUCUGAUUUGAGACAGGCGUCUCGACGUUGACUUCGGAUUUGGAUUGUACCUUCUAUUUCAAGCGGGUUGAGGCCGUCAGGAGAGAUUCCAGUCGCUAGGCCCUUUGUCGCGAAGAUUUCUAGAUAUCAUUUUCUGUAUUCGCUUUUAUUCGUAUACUUGUGAUGUGGGUUUGUAUUGUGGACUUUAUAUUGAACAUUCGGGUUUGCUACUUUGUUUUCCGCUGCGAAUAUUUCAUUA